rnacentral:rRNA from 1 species
GAUUAAGUUAUUAAGGGCGCACGGUGGAUGCCUUGGCACUAGAAGCCGAUGAAGGACGUUACUAACAACGAUAUGCUUUGGGGAGCUGUAAGUAAGCUUUGAUCCAGAGAUUUCCGAAUGGGGAAACCCAGCAUGAGUUAUGUCAUGUUAUCGAUAUGUGAAUACAUAGCAUAUCAGAAGGCACACCCGGAGAACUGAAACAUCUUAGUACCCGGAGGAAGAGAAAGAAAAUUCGAUUCCCUUAGUAGCGGCGAGCGAAACGGGAAGAGCCCAAACCAACAAGCUUGCUUGUUGGGGUUGUAGGACACUCUAUACGGAGUUACAAAGGACGACAUUAGACGAAUCAUCUGGAAAGAUGAAUCAAAGAAGGUAAUAAUCCUGUAGUCGAAAAUGUUGUCUCUCUUGAGUGGAUCCUGAGUACGACGGAGCACGUGAAAUUCCGUCGGAAUCUGGGAGGACCAUCUCCUAAGGCUAAAUACUCUCUAGUGACCGAUAGUGAACCAGUACCGUGAGGGAAAGGUGAAAAGCACCCCGGAAGGGGAGUGAAAUAGAACCUGAAACCGUGUGCUUACAAGUAGUCAGAGCCCGUUAAUGGGUGAUGGCGUGCCUUUUGUAGAAUGAACCGGCGAGUUACGAUUUGAUGCAAGGUUA